rnacentral:rRNA from 1 species
CAGUGGGGAAUAUUGCACAAUGGGCGCAAGCCUGAUGCAGCCAUGCCGCGUGUAUGAAGAAGGCCUUCGGGUUGUAAAGUACUUUCAGCGGGGAGGAAGGUGUUGUGGUUAAUAACCGCAGCAAUUGACGUUACCCGCAGAAGAAGCACCGGCUAACUCCGUGCCAGCAGCCGCGGUAAUACGGAGGGUGCAAGCGUUAAUCGGAAUUACUGGGCGUAAAGCGCACGCAGGCGGUCUGUCAAGUCGGAUGUGAAAUCCCCGGGCUCAACCUGGGAACUGCAU